rnacentral:rRNA from 1 species
GGCAGCAUGAUCUAGCUUGCUAGAUUGAUGGCGAGUGGCGAACGGGUGAGUAAUACAUCGGAACGUGCCCCGUAGUGGGGGAUAACUAGUCGAAAGAUUAGCUAAUACCGCAUACGACCUGAGGGUGAAAGUGGGGGACCGCAAGGCCUCAUGCUAUAGGAGCGGCCGAUGUCUGAUUAGCUAGUUGGUGAGGUAAAGGCUCACCAAGGCGACGAUCAGUAGCUGGUCUGAGAGGACGAUCAGCCACACUGGGACUGAGACACGGCCCAGACUCCUACGGGAGGCAGCAGUGGGGAAUUUUGGACAAUGGGCGAAAGCCUGAUCCAGCAAUGCCGCGUGUGUGAAGAAGGCCUUCGGGUUGUAAAGCACUUUUGUCCGGAAAGAAAUGGCUCUGGUUAAUACCUGGGGUCGAUGACGGUACCGGAAGAAUAAGGACCGGCUAACUACGUGCCAGCAGCCGCGGUAAUACGUAGGGUCCAAGCGUUAAUCGGAAUUACUGGGCGUAAAGCGUGCGCAGGCGGUUGUGCAAGACCGAUGUGAAAUCCCCGAGCUUAACUUGGGAAUUGCAUUGGUGACUGCACGGCUAGAGUGUGUCAGAGGGGGGUAGAAUUCCACGUGCAGCAGUGAAAUGCGUAGAGAUGUGGAGGAAUACCGAUGGCGAAGGCAGCCCCCUGGGAUAACACUGACGCUCAUGCAC